UGUCCAGUAACUCCUAUCCCCACCUCCUUGUGGUGCCACCUGGGGUACGAGUAACCAUAGGGAUCUUGGCCGUAUGCUGACAGUGAAGG
rnacentral:ribozyme from 1 species